ACCCGCUGAACUUAAGCAUAUCAAUAAGCGGAGGAAAGGAAACCAACAGGGAUUGCCCUAGUAACGGCGAGUGAAGCGGCAACAGCUCAAAUUUGAAAUCUGGCGUCUUUGGCGUCCGAGUUGUAAUUUGCAGAGGGCGCUUUGGCAUUGGCAGCGGUCCAAGUUCCUUGGAACAGGACGUCACAGAGGGUGAGAAUCCCGUACGUGGUCGCUAGCCUUUACCGUGUAAAGCCCCUUCGACGAGUCGAGUUGUUUGGGAAUGCAGCUCUAAAUGGGAGGUAAAUUUCUUCUAAAGCUAAAUACUGGCCAGAGACCGAUAGCGCACAAGUAGAGUGAUCGAAAGAUGAAAAGCACUUUGGAAAGAGAGUUAAAAAGCACGUGAAAUUGUUGAAAGGGAAGCGCUUGCAGCCAGACUUGCCUGUAGUUGCUCAUCCGGGUUUUUACCCGGUGCACUCUUCUAUAGGCAGGCCAGCAUCAGUUUGGGCGGUUGGAUAAAGGUCUCUGUCAUGUACCUCUCUUCGGGGAGAACUUAUAGGGGAGACGACAUGCAACCAGCCCGGACUGAGGUCCGCGCAUCUGCUAGGAUGCUGGCGUAAUGGCUGU
rnacentral:rRNA from 1 species